CGAGCAGGGCACGGCCCCUUUGAAGAGGCUGGCAGCGUUCCCAGGGAGUCGGCAGGGUCAGCGGCCCAUUUCCAGGGAACAAAUCAGAGCUGGAGCCAAACCCAUUUCCGCUGCAAAUCACUCCUCUGGAGUAUAGGGCCAGGCUUUGAUAUUCCACUGCAGCUUGCACAUCUGUGGGGAGGGUCAGAAAAAAGGUGGGGGCUGUGUGAUGCUCCUGGGGUUGAUGAGUGAGCCAGGAAUGGUUUGGCUGAGCUUUUCAGGGAGGGAUGGGCUGGGAAUUGCUCUGGGGAGACCACGGUGGCCAUCCCUGCUUGUGGGGUAGGGCAGGGGCUGCAGAACAUAUGUGGGGCUGUGACCUGGCAUGUGAAGAGCUGCAGGCUCUUCCCUGAGAGCCAACACUGUAUCUCACUUUUCAGUGUGAUUUAUUUUGUUUCAGUGAGGGGAACAGCCCAGUCUGAUUUACAAUUAGGCUGUUAAUCUACCUUUUCAGGGCAGAUGCUGGUCUGCUCUAUAAAACCACUUUCUGACCAAAAGGCCCCGUAAACAUAAGGGAGCUGGAGCCAACCAGGAGCAGAGCUGGAUAUUAAGCAGAAAUCAAUAGGAUAUUUUCAAUUUGGCCCCAAAAUGAAACAGGGAAUGGUCUUUGUGCACAGGAAAUGGGACACCACUUCAAAAAGAGGGGGAAAAAAAAAAAACAAAACCAAAAAAACCCCAACAGGCAGCAAGUCAGGAGCAUACAAGGAACAUCUGGAGGAAGGCUCGUGGUGUGGAAAGGCUGCAGGACUUGGCAUGUUUGUGCACACCUAGCUUCAAAAGUUCCAGUAAGAGAACCAGAAUUUCCUUUUAAAUGAAACUUGUAUCUGUAGAUGCAGGGUCAGAAGACCACUUUGGUCUCUGUCUUUCUGCUUUUGCUUUCAUCUGGGCGAUUUUUCUUGUGCAUUUAUCCAUCAUUUUGAAAUAUUCAAAGCUUCCCCCAGCUGUCACCUUAGUAAACUUGCCUUAAUACUGGCCAAAUCAGAAAACUGCUCGGGAAAAAAAAGGGGGGGGAGGGAAGUGAAAAAAUGGCUCACAGUAGAAAAAGAUAGGUUCUUGCUGAAUAGGCACUCUAGUUUUGAACAUAUGUCCAUUGUAUGAAGGCUCCACAUUUUUACCUAACAUGGGUUAGUUAAGUGGAUAAAAGAAUAAAAAGAAGGUCUAGUAAAGUACCACAUGGUGUCUGCCAUUGUGACCAUGCAGAAAUUAAAAAAAAAAAAAAAAAAGCAGGUUUUAAAAUUCAAUUACAUUUACUGAGACAGAAAGCAAAGGUGACUGCAGCUGAAUCCAAAAUGGGCAGCAGAGCCAAACCACGAGCAAUUUCCUACAGGAACAUUUCUCUGGAAAGAAUGGAAACCUGCAAGGAGCUCAGAGCCAUCUGGUCCAGGAAACGUGGCAAUUCCACACAAAAAUGUCCUGGGACAAAUUGGUGCCAUUGGGUCCCUCCAAACUCCACUGGUGAGCUGGUGGGUGCCAGUCCCUCUGUGGGCAGGACCUCCUGGAGCAGCAUUGAGCACACCAGGGCCAGCUGCCCAUAUUGGAGAUGCCCUGGGAGGAAGCUCAGUGUCCCUUGGGGAUGUUCAGACCUUUCCAUGAACACAGAGAGGGCUUGGCUGCAUCACUCCAAGAUGGCCAAGCUCAGGUGAAGAAGCUCUUUUAGGGACACUUCACUGGGAAAGGUCUCAGCCAGGGGGGUGAAGGCCACCCAGGCUGUUUGUUGGGUGAUUACAGUAAAUGAUAGGCAGCAAGGCCGGAGCUUUUGGAUUAAUUUAAACAAGGGCAUCAGAGGAAGCAUCUUUGCUCAAUCUGGGAGAUCCUUUUUUGUACCAUACGCAAGCCAUGGAUUAAUCAGCUAUAGCACGUAGCUCAGCUUGCUCAAUUUACUAAUAUUUAUCUGACUAAGACUCUUUUUUCCUGAGAAGCAUGAAAUGUCUCAUCCCACUGAGUCAGUGUGUUACCAUUACAUGUUGUAAACUGCUGCAGACAGUCAUGGAGCAGUUGUGAGGAGCUGGGAAGAAAAGAUGUCAUUUCCCGUCAGCCGGUCCUUGGCUGUGCUCUGCAGCACACAGCCAAAUAAGGGUGGGAAUGUGCCAAAUCAAACCUGCUUAGGAGGACUCCAGGCACUAAAGUUCCAUACUAGGAUUAAAAACCGGGGGGAGAGGGGCUGUUUUGCUCUGUCUCUUCCCAGCAGCCUGGGCAUGACUCUGUGUGUGGUGUGUUCCCCACUCUUGGACGCUGUGUAGCUGUUAAUUUGGUUGUUAAAAUAAAAAUGGAAAAAUAAGUA